UGCAUUCACUACUGUAAGUCUCUCUGGAUAAGAGCGUCUGCUAAAAUGUUUAAA
rfam:Salmo salar isolate Sally breed double haploid chromosome ssa09, whole genome shotgun sequence.